CGGGCGCCCGAGGCAGCUCAAUGGGGGAAAGAGGCGCCGCCAUUUCCUGUCCCCCCUCACAGCCUUGACCCGGGUAGGCGCCGUGAGGGGACACACCGGGGCAGCUGCCAUUGAGAUGCAAAUGGAGUCAAUGCCUGGCACCAUCGCCCUCCCUCCCCCUUAUGGUGCCCUGAAAGAGGAGGUGUGAGGGGAGAAAAACGUGUAUUAUCUCCACCUUCCCCUCAUCACCUCUGCUUUCGCCUCAAAGCGAGGGGCACUCCCCGCACGAGAUGAGCUCAGACCUCCAGACAGAAAGUGGGCAAAGAAUUAGCAAAAUGCAGACAGUGUCUCCAUUUUCUAUUAUCUCGAUAUCAAUAUCUUUAGUGUUGUCAUCAUUUUCUAAGAACUGGGAUUUAAAAAAAAAAGAAAAUCUAAGAGGCUGGCAGCUGGUCCGGCACACCUACGCACUGCCAGCGCUCCAUUUCAGCCUCACAAGGCAUUGGCCACAUGAAAAUGUUUUUCCAACAGAUUUUAGUAGACUUAUAAUCACCUCGGACCACUCAACUUCACACAGAUAAAAUCUCAUACCCAGAGUAGCACUGUGUGCAGCAUUAGACCUUAUUGCCACAAAAGGAAGUUUUAUUAUGGAAGCAAACAGCCCUAAAAAAACCCCCAAACCACAAUUCAAACAUCCAGAGAUCAUCACUUAGUGUUGCAUAAUGUCCACUGUUGAAGCCUGUGAUAUUGGUUUAUGUCCCCAGUGACUCACAGCAUCAUUUCAAACCAAUUAGUAUGUCAGGAGCUGUUUUAUGUGAGAUAUCAGCGAUUUUCACCAUCUUUCUUACUUCUUUUCCCUUCCCCACCCACAUAACAAACUUAUGUGUUUGUUUCACACAAACCCCAUUUUUCUCCAGGUCACUCUGAAGAAGAUGCUGUUUUGACAGCAUCGUGCAUUUUCCCUCUUGCAAAUCCAUGGAAGCCCUGCCUAAGAAAGUGAUAAAUGGCCAGAAAGAGACCCUCACCCUCACUCUAAUUAGAAGCCUUUGCUGUUUCGCAGGGUUUCAAGAGGACAGAAGCCUGAGGCAGCUGGAUGUGAAUACAAACCAUACCAUGCUCCAACAGCUUUCUCAUAUUCAUCCAGUGACUGAGAUCCAUCUGUUUAUCAUCAGCUGCAAUACAGUCAGAGACAAAGUGCAUUGUUAAUAGGGUGUGUUUGAGAGAAAAGUCAUAAGAAAGUGCCCUAAACUAAGUGAUUUCUGAAAGUAAUGGCUAUGGAGUGCAUACCACACAGUAGCACUGUGCUAAUGGAUAUUUUUCUUCAGUCAUUGCUAUUAACUCUGUGGUAUUGCUGGCAAGAUUAAAAAAUUAAAUAGAAGGGGUGGCAAAAUACCUUUGCUAGAUAAGGGAUUCUAGUUCCUAACCAAUUCUAAUUUGGAUCCUUUUUUCUUGUAAGGAAAAUAAGAUUUGCCAUACAUUAUCAGAACAAGAGUUCCUUUUGGCCAUAAGCUUGUCCAUGACAGUAACCCUGGACAAUGCAGCAGACAAGAAGGCAAUGGCCACCUAAAAUAAGUAAAUUCUUUUUUUUUAAAUUAACAACAGUGUAAGAGGAUGUCAGAGUUCUUCGUACAGUCACCUGCCUUCAUAGAGCUACUUGGACUUAUACUGAUUACACGUGGUGCUACUUGGGGAUGGAAUGAAAAGCUGGACACUGGAGAAACAGAAGCACAGUAACAAGGAAAGACUAUGAAGCACGCAAAAUGCAAUUGAAUCAGCAGAAGGCUUUCAGUCAACUCUUUCUGAAGCCUCCAAAACUCAGAAAUAGAGACAUCUUGCAAGCAACACACGCUUUAGUUUAAAAUCAAAGGUUAUAGGGUGGCUUUUUUUUUCCUAUUGCCCUUGUUUCAGCUUUCAGAAAUUUAACGAUGUUCUACACUAUCAAAGCAUUCAUUCAUCAUCUUGAUUUCUUGCCCCUCCCAUUGUAAACUCUAUUUUACUACCUUUUGCUCACUUACAUAGAGUCACUGUUCUUAGUAGGCUCACAGAAGAUUGUCUGGAGGCAAAAAAGACACUCCAGUAACUCAAGCAAAUUAGUUCAUCUGGUGCCUGAGAUUUUAUAUGUAUGCUUGUUUUAUAAAAGUUUGUGCACUUAUUUCAUAAAAGAUAACUAUCGUAAAAAUUAGCAGUUUUCUUUCCUAUACAAAUAAAAUAUGACUUUGCUUGCUAAUACAAGUUGGAAUAUCUGAGUUUGGAGUCUGGAUAGAAAUAAAAGCUCAAACUGGAUCUUUUCCAACAGGAUCUAAACCCGGAAGAAUUCCAGUAGUCUCGUGAUACAGUGAGGAGUUAUAUAACACUUGCCAUUGCCAUGUAGUUAUUUCUAAGGAUGAUGUCACACUUUGCUCCUCUGUGGUUCUGUUCUCUGUGUGAGGUGAUCUCUGCAGCAGAUUCAGGCUGCUCUCUGUUAUUGGAAUGGGUGAGCCCAGCAAGAGAACCACUUUAUUUCAUGCAUUCAUGAAGUUUAACUAUUGUGCCACCUAAGAUCCCGUAGUCUUCUGUACAAGAGGCCAUUUAAUUGCUGUUACCUCUCUGCUCAUCCCUGCAGCUUGCGUUUGGUUUAAACAUUGCUUCCAAGUAGGGCUGCGUAAAUCAAGAGCUGGGGAAUUCAUCACUUUGCUUGGUAGUUUAUUAUAAUGGUUAUUAAACGUCACUGCUAAAGAUACAUGCCUGUACUCUGAGAUUUCUGGUUUCAAGUUCAGUCUUGUGACUUAUCCUGCUAAAUUACAGAGCCCUUUAGUACAGAUUUCCUCUCCACAAAGGUGUUUAAGUGCUGCAAUCAAGUCGCUCCUCAACCUUUCUUUGUGAUAAGCUAAAUAGGUUGAAUUCUUGAUCUCUUUCUCUCCAUGCAAAACACAAGCCUUUAAAGAUGUGGCAUGGUCAAGAAAGGGGGCUUUAAGAUCUCUCUCAUUGCAACAGUCUUGACACUUUUCCCUUCAGCUUCCACUGGAAUUGCCACCGAAACCACCAUUAAAUGGCAAUGCACUUCAGAUUAAAGGAAAUAAUCUCUCAUUUAGUUUGUAUUGCAGAUGACUUUGGGAGGAAAAGCACAUUCUGACAGCUGUUUCCAUUUCAUUGUGCUUUUUGUUUUUGAAAAAGAGAAGACCAUUUGUUUUCAAUUUGUCUAUAAAUAAUAGAGGAAAACACAGCUGAGGGGCCUAGUGCGAUUUUUAUAGUACGUUCAUUUUUAGAAAUCUGAUAAGCUUAACCACAUAUGUUUGAAAUACAGAAAUUUAAAAAAAAAAACCUACUUGUCAUGCAAUCACUUAUUUAUUUUAUCUAGUACUUAAGCAGCAUUUGUCAAACAUCGUGUGUUGGGGGCAACUUUGGACCUAAAUUCUGAACGCGGGUGGAAUGAACAGAUUGGCACUUAACCUAUAUGAGGUCAGAACUGUGGAGUUUUUUCCCUAAGUUGAGAGUGACCUCACAAGGCAGCAUGACAAUUAAUUAGCUCCUGUUUAUCCCACUGAGUCAUGAAGGCAUUGGACUGCACCUCAAUUCCACUCAAGCUGCGUUGAUACAGGUCACACCUAGCAGGUUACCAGAGCCAUCAGUGAUAUCUGAUGCUCAGCCCCUCUGCUAGUGUAGAGAUAAACACAUGGAGCAUGAUGAAACAAGACCUUUCACAAAGGAAUCUCUGCCCUGCUCUCAGUGGACUUAGUCUUGACUGCACUUGCUUAGACAUCAGCCAAAAGUAACUUCACUGAAACCCACGGGGAGCGUUUCAGCAAAGUGCUUUAGGGCAGGUGGCUGCCCUAAAGCUUUAGCCCCCAGUGAUUUAGAAGCACUGAAUUUAAAACCGCCCCCCAUGAUCUCUGUGUUUGUAAUAUAUUGAUUCACAGUGCCCACAUACACACCCUGGGAGGACAUGACAGAUUUGUUCCCGUCAUCUUUCACCACUCCUUAAGGAAAAUAUGUAACCAGCAUCCCACCUGUCACAUACUGAGUCACCUCCCAGUUAAAUACAUUUCUUAUUUGUAUUUUUUCUAUUCAACAGAUAAACAUGCUUCAUUUGUCAGUACAGCUCACUUCCUCAGGAAAAGCACUGAAGGUUAUGCUCUAAGAGAAUGCCAAUCACCCACCAGAACACUUGCUGUAAGACAUACGCUUAUACUUCAGGAACAAUAAAGGCAUUGGGACCAAUCUCAAUCAGAUGUUGCGGGAAAGGGAUCCUCUUAGACUGAAAAGAAAGGGAAAUAAUUCAGUUGGCAUGGUGGCCAGUUUUGUCAUCCAGAGUUAACAUCCUGCUGUCAUGCACUAGUUUAAGUGGUUUUACACACUACAGUGCAAUGUAAACCACGGAUGGGAAGCUGUUCAUGAGUCACAGGAACAGGUAGGCUCCCCGUGGACCUAAACUGUUUACAGCAUCCCAUGGGUAGUAGGUCCCCACCCAGGCCAGGAGGUCUAAACCAGGAGCAGGAGAGGGCUGUAAGUUCCCAACAGUAUUACACAAGCUACUAUGGAAUUUUAUUUACCAAAGUUAAUUUUUUUUCCUAAGAAUCUUCAUUCACCAAGCCUCCUCCACACAUUACAGGGUAUUUUUUUUCAAUUCAUAUGUGGGCGCAAAGUUUAAGGAUUAUAAAUGGGUUGUUUGCUACAGCUCAUGCAGCAAUCUGGCAGCAGAGUUAGGAGCAAGUUUGGCAUUCCCACUCACUUGGCUUUGUGCUUUAAUCAAACUUUAUAUAAGAUCAAGGAGGCCCAGGAACUGGCCGUACUAUCUCUAAUGUCAGGAACUGAUUACAAAGGCACCAGUGGUUCUUGUUCUUGCCAAUACAGCUCCAGUCUGAUAGAAAAUUAUUUGACUGAGGGCUGGUUCAGAAAGGAGCCAUAAACUGAUAAUAACCACAUGACCACAGGAACCAAGAACUUAAUCUGUGAUGGUUAUUUCCCAAACUAAAUAUUUAAAUAAACUAACAUCUACAAAAUAAUAAAAUUUAAUUAGAGAUAAGCAAGGUUAUAAAAGUUAUUCUCUCGUAGACUGCAGGAAAUUUUGCUUCCAAAUCCCCUCAGCAUACAAGAGGAUUAAAAAGUCACUGUGAUAGAAAUAGACAUUUUAACCCAAGAGCAGGUUUUCUCUUAAUAUCAAAAAGCAUUUCCUGUAAUGAGAAAUUGUCAACAGACCAAUGUAGUGGCAAAGCAGGGGUAGUUUAUUACAUUUAGAUGUCCUGCCAAUAUAUUUGCACCUGCUUGCAGCCUCCAGGUUGAUUUGCCACAAGGGAAGACUUAAGUCACUCAUCAUGACAGGUGGAUCUCUUAUCCAAUAAUCCAGGAGGAAUCAUGAACCCGGACAUGACUUUAUUCUUGCUUUUUUCUUUUAAUAUGAAAAAGUCUUACUUUUCUGCUCUAAAAUUUCCAAAUUGCUAUUCCUCUAUUUCAAAAGUAAGCAGUCACCAUUAAUGUCUGCUGCACCUUUCCUUUAUGUUCUUUAGGCGCUCCAGAAACAACAUGUCAAGAAAAAAAAAAUCCAUAACAAAGCAUUUUAGUCCCAUAACUGGGGAGUAGAGAUUGCAGUGAACCGCAGCCAGGCAGAGCAUCAGCCCGGCCCUGCAGGCUGCCAGCUCUGUCAUCUGAGCUCAGGGAGGAAGAGGAGGAGCGGAGGCUGCAGCAGGUGCUGUGCUUGAAUUCACAAGCGCAGUGACCCUCCCUAGGAGCAUGGCAGGAAUUUCAAAUGGGAUUAGCCACCCGGACAAGAGAAAGGUCAUACUUGACAUUUCCACUGGAAAUUCUAAUGCAAAUAGACCUCUGAUACUCAUGACAUUUUUUCACACGUAUCUAACAGCCAUACAUAUGUAAAAGGAAAAUGAUAAAAUGUGAUGACUAAUUUAUGUAAAUCUCAUAAAGGCAAUAACACCAAGGGCUGAGCACAUAGAAACAUUAGUCAGGCAAAGGAGCACAUGAUUGUAUUCCUCUUUUUAUUUGCUACCAUUUUAAAUUGGUUUAUUUUGAUAGGGUUGUUAUUUGUUUAGUUUUCAAAGUGCUCAGUGCUGUACAAGGAAUAGGACAUAGAGUCCUUGCUCGUAGUAAGGAGCAUAGUGAUCUCUGGGCUUUAUUUUGAAUGGUUUUGGUUAUUGCAGUGGGGGUGGGAGGUGAUAGAGGCAGAGAGAAGUCAUCUGGGAAGCCAGUGAUUUUUAUAGCCUACCUCAGGCUUGAAUAUUUACACACUGUAAAAUCCUAGCUGCACACCCAACGAAAGCAUGAAUUUUUGGAAUUGGAUCCCAGCGCAAUUCAAGUAGGGUACUCACAACAUGAAGAUUACAUGGAAAAUAGUUUUACAACAAAGCUUUUCUCACCUGAAGGAGCCUUAACAGAGCACAAUCACUGUGACAUCAUCUCACAUUUACAGCUAUUUCCACGACAUAUCUUGAUAAGCAAGUUUCCUGUCGCAGUUGUCUUCUGUAGUCACCAAAUUAGACAGAAAACAAGUGCUUUAAUUUUGUUUUAAUUUACCCAAAUUAAAGAUACCAGGCGGAACGAUAGCAGGGCGGGGAGGGGGGGGUAUUUAGGUUGUCCUGCUUUUGUUGUUGUUUUACACAGCAGACUACACUGCUCAGCAAACCAUCAGAGGACCGCUGUGGUAUCUGCACGUCUUCCAGUACAGGCAGGAAGAUAAGUCAAACCUAAAUAUAAACUGAGUAGAGAAAAUCCAGUGCUGUCAGCGUCUUAUUCAAAGUUUUACUUUCAACACAAUCAAGAGCAGAUUCUACCCCGCUUACCGUCAUCACCAGUUAUAUUUCAAUACGUUUAUUCCUGCACUUUAACAUCAUUUCAGAGGGCAGUGCCUCAUUUUCCCCAGCUAGGGGGUGGGGAAAACAUUUCUUAAACUGCUUAGAGCUUGUUUAUUUUUCUUAAGGCUAAUUACCUGCUCGCAAUGACUCAAUUUUGUUUAUUACGACUUUUAAAAUGACAAGUUCAUCUGCCACCGGAAAGCAGAGAUGCUUUAGUGACAAUGAAAGGCCACAGUCCUGCAAGCACUUAUGCAUAUGCUUCACGUUUUGCAUGUAAAUAGUCCCAUUGACUAAAUCCUAGUUCUUUGAAAGGGAAGAAAAGACUGAAAGGCAAUCAUUGUUUUCCCAGGCAAACAGCGCUGGAGAAGAAAGGAACAAGUUAGGAAUAUAGAAAAUUAACUCAUUUCCCGUCUCCCACCAUAUGCACACAUAUCCUGAAACUCCUGAAAUGACUUCAGAGAAGUCCUAUGACAUCUAACAACGAUGAAACCAACAGGCUGCUGUAGCAGAUUGGCCUGAGAGCGGGUAGGACCCAGGGAGAGGCACCUGCCCCAGCUCCCUGCUGUCACCUUGGCUUGGCAACAUUCCUCUCUGGGCCCAGGUUUCCAGCAGCUGCAGCCCCGUCAGACAGGGAACAGAGCUCACAAGCUGCCUUCGUGACGCGGAGCACGUCCAAUCCACACCACAGACAUUCGUGUUAUUUACCAGAUGAAGGGGUGGCCUUGACAGAAUUAAAAAGCUGCUGAUGAAUCACUGAGUCCAAGAGAGCUAAUACAUAAUUUUUUAAAGGUUACUAUUCAAGGGAGCAGUGUAGUGCCCACUACUAACAAAGGGAUUGUGGUAACCAACAAAUUAUCCGCUGUAGACAAUUCCUCCAAAACUGGGUAGUGAUAGAAUCCCAAAGAAAAGCUCCAUCAGGGUAAAAAAAUAUUUAAAAAAAUAAAAUAAAAAACUCGAACCGAAAUACAAAGAAUAAAAACCUUGCAGAACAGUGAUCUUUCUCCUUUAACUUCUACAGGACUGGAAACCAGAUGUAUUUACUUUUUUUAAAAUUUAUUUAUUUUGCCAGACUGCUGAAGACUAAGCUGUCUUGAAUACGUAUUGAAAACUUAAUUCAAAAAACAACUUCCUUAAUUUUAGCUUUUGGAUCACUGAACAACCUACAGGACACCAGCUUCUUUCCUGCUGUUUCUAAGCCAGUCCAGCUCAAGCUGAAGGAGAAAGGUAACUGGAAAGAUUCCCGUUUCUAAAGCUAUCAAAGCUGCUUUUUGGAAAAAGAUCAGUUAUUUCCACCAGGGCCUGAGAGCAUCUCCCUGAAAUAACUCUUCUGGCCACCCCAUCAGUGAAACACAGUGGUUUCACAGCUCAACACCAGCUGGAAGGUUUUGGGGGCAGGUUUCAGCUCACCUGCCUGCACAGCUGGGCACAAUAAUCCCAUGGAAGAGAAACAAGGAGCAGUUUUGCUCCCUGUCUCCAAUGAGGAGCUAACGGCUUGGAAAGGAGCACGCAGCGGUUCGCAUCAGUGCGCGAGAUGAAUAUAAAAACCAAACCAAAGCACGAUUUGUUUUGCAGUUUAUUAAAGGAAAUGUUUUCAUAUAAUUAAUCAUGGUCCGCGAGGCUGCUUUAUCCAACGCAGUUCCUCCCUACCCCCAGCCAUCCCACAUGGAGCCUUAGCCGGACUAAAAUUUUGCAAAGCCUUGCAUUGUUCUCCCUGACACCGGAUCAGCGGACACAAAAAAGCAACUGCCAGCUCAAAAGCAAUCCGGCGAUAGAGCCUGGUGCUAUCUAAUCAAGGGCAAAAGGUCACUUCCGAACAACUGGGCAAUAAAAGAUUAUUUCCAGCCGCAGAACAGAAAGGCCCAGUGGUGGAUGCUUGAAAGAGGGGGGUGGAAGGAGGGCAAAAGGGCUCCCGUCUGUGGGAGGAAGUGCAUUGAAUAAAGCCAGCAGACGGGAACCAUCUGGCUUUGUGCGUGGUCUGUUCUUCAGAGGAGAGAGAAAGCCCCCUCAGCGGGGCCAGUGACUCCAUGCAAUGAUUCAAACUUUUCUUCUUUUUUUUUCUUCCUCCCCCAUCAAUUUAAAAGAGGCUUUUCCCAGGCACCAAAAAAUUGGAAAUGGGAACUUUCCCAACACGCGGAUGGACGUGUCUUAUCAAGUGCAAGCUGCAAGAUGGAGCCCACGUUUUAAUUUGGUCAUGAGAGAUGGCUCUUAUCAGGGAGCAAGGCCUGGGGAUAACCAGACUGGGCUUUUUUUGUUUGUUUUUUUUUUAAGAAUGGCUUCAGAAGAAAGCUCCCAAGGACCGAGCACACUCAAAUUCCCACUACACCAAGUUUGGCUGCAUUUUUCAACAGCAAACAGUGUUUUCAGCAGUAUCACCUUUAUUAUGUAUACUUCAUGCAUUUCCCCCCUUCCUCUCGCUCUCCACUUGUUAUAUGGCCUCACUUGAAUGAAAGCAAGAAAAUAAAAGGGCCAGAUUACAUUCAGUCCAGUUGCCAUGGCCUGUGGGAGGGCAGAAUUGCAAACACUUCAGUACAAAUGGUACAAUCCCUCCUCCCUCCCUUCACCCCUGCAGUUGUCCUCCAUGUCCUCACUUUCCCUCGCUCCGUGGUUUGCACUGGAGGCCCUUGGCACUCAGCAGCGAGGAGCUGAAUCUAUUCAAGCACCCAGACACCUCCUCCGUUCACUAGUGAAUUAACUUUAAGCAUGCAAAUCACACUAAUCCAGAAUUCACAGGAGAGGAAGUCAGGAGGGUUCCCAGUGGUCUGGGAAAUAUUUUUCCUUUGGGGAAGGGAACAGGAGGGGGGGUUCAUUGCACUCUUCUUUACAGCUCGCUGCGGGUCACUCUGGCUCAUCUCAAAGAAAGUUUAGUUCAGAGGCUCAGCUUGACAUUCAUUGGUUUCUAAAUCAGAACCUCUUGAGCGAUUGUCCCAGCAAUUCCAGGGACUGGGGCCUGAGCAAAUAGCCCCCGACUAAUUCUGCUGUAGUAGGGGGGAAACGAAGCAGUUAAAUGUCCAGUUUAUCAACAGAAAACAACAACUGAGCCUUUGUCCUAAGAGGGUGCAGUAGGAAACCGUUUGGCAGGGCUCAUCUGCAUGAGAAACCAAGGCAGCUGGGAAACACCGACAUACAGUUUAGAGGGAGAUCCAUGAAGACAUUGGAGGAGAAAAAUAUUGCAUACAUUGAUUCUCUAUACAGCCACCUCCAAAAAAGAAAAAAAAAAUCUCAGGAAAUCUAAGUCAGACACGGGUUGACAAUUGAGGGGCUUUGUUUUAAAAGCAAAAACAAACAAACAAAAAACCCACCAAAAAGCUCACAAAGCAGGAGUUAAAACUGAGAAACGUGACACAGCAGGUCCUCUGCUGUAGCCUAUUUAUUACAGGACCAAAAAAUCCCACUCCCAACAGCAAGCUGACCAAAUGGUCAAAGCCAACAGCUGUGGUAUUUAUUCUCUACAGCUCUGCAAGUUAAGGCAGUGCAAAGAUACCAGAGUUUCUGCUACUGUAGAGCUCCGCUAUAGUCUCAACACAAGUCUAGACAUCAAACAGAUACGGAAAUGCAGAACAUAAUUGGGACACACAAAGCCAAAAAGGAAAACCAUGGAGUUGAAAUGGACCAUU